UACGAAGGGGGCUAGCGUUGCUCGGAAUCACUGGGCGUAAAGGGCGCGUAGGCGGACUCUUAAGUCGGGGGUGAAAGCCCAGGGCUCAACCCUGGAAUUGCCUUCGAUACUGGGAGUCUUGAGUUCGGAAGAGGUUGGUGGAACUGCUAGUGUAGAGGUGAAAUUCGUAGAUAUUCGCAAGAACACCAGUGGCGAAGGCGGCCAACUGGUCCGAAACUGACGCUGAGGCGCGAAAGCGUGGGGAGCAAACAGG
rnacentral:rRNA from 1 species